CAGCAUGCCCCAGGGCCCCUCCCUUGUGCAGGGCCCAUGCGGGGCUCUCAGAAGCUGCGCCCACGCAUUCCCACCCCAGACUCUGGACACGGAAACUCAUUUGAUGAAGUUUCACUUCUGUUUCUUGACACCUCCCAGCUUGUUCCAUCCCCUGGAGAGGAGAGAGGGUGUGGAAAAGAGUCCUGGCCUGAAACUAAGAGGAUGACUCAAGGCAGCUUUUAAAAACGCCGACUGCAGAAAUCAGGAAAGAGAUGGAAGUGGAUGUGAUCCUGGCCUGGCGCAUUCAUGCUGGCACCUGCGGCACUCUCAGCACAGAGCCACCAUUCAGUGACAACUCUGAAGUCCACACUGAGAGCGCCGGGUCAAGCAGAGCCAGCCUCCCAGAGUUCUGGUGAGAAUUCCGUGAGUUAAGCCGUGCAGAGGGCAGGCGCAUGGUGAAUUCUCAAUAAAUGUUUGCUAUUAGCUUCAGCACACAGAGCUGAGGUGGACCCUGAGGGCCUGUUUGGAAUGUGCAGCUAGCAGUGGGGACCGGCAUUUCCUCACUGGCCAGACCGCACAUCCUCUCCCCACGAGCAGCCCUCCACCCUGAGUCCGAGUCAAGGGAAGUGGAUAUUCAACGACACCAGGUUGGGGGGAGCAAAUCCAUUCCAUCAGGGCUGCCCUGACCAGCAGCUCCAGGGUGCCCAUUGGCUCUGAGCCGCUCUCCUCAGAAUGUGCCUGGGUGGGCUCUGCCGGACCAAACCCCAGCCCCCAGGACACCUCUCUCCUUUAUGUUGCGGAAUAUAUUUGGCCAGAUGGGGAAAAGUCCGCAAGGCAUAUUUCCAACGCUGAGCCUGUGUGUACUUGGGCACUGAGGAUUCCAGGAGGGCAAAUGGGCCAUGGUCCCUGUCUUCAUGGAGCUCCACGAUGCUCACACCUCCUUUCGCAUUUGCUGGCCUCUCUGAGCCCAUCUCCCUGCUCACUUCCACAGCACUCUGCAAGCCCAGAAGACCCUCCCAUAUUAGAAUGCUCCUCCCAACCAGCUCCUCAGCCAGGACCCCCUUUUUCCUGUUUGUUGUCUGUCUUUCCCACUCAGAUGGAUGUCCAAAGGGCAGGGGCCCUGUCUGUCUUGUAGACUGUCGCAGGGGCCCCGUCU
rnacentral:lncRNA from 1 species